AUGCAGUCGUACGCACUGAGCCCAACUGAUUGAUGGUGCUUGCACCUGAUUGACGAUGGAUCACCAGUGAGUGGCGGACGGGUGAGUAACACGUAGGUAACCUGCCCCGGAGCGGGGGAUAACAUUUGGAAACAGAUGCUAAUACCGCAUAACAACAAAAGCCACAUGGCUUUUGUUUGAAAGAUGGCUUUGGCUAUCACUCUGGGAUGGACCUGCGGUGCAUUAGCUAGUUGGUAAGGUAACGGCUUACCAAGGCGAUGAUGCAUAGCCGAGUUGAGAGACUGAUCGGCCACAAUGGAACUGAGACACGGUCCAUACUCCUACGGGAGGCAGCAGUAGGGAAUCUUCCACAAUGGGCGCAAGCCUGAUGGAGCAACACCGCGUGAGUGAAGAAGGGUUUCGGCUCGUAAAGCUCUGUUGUUGGAGAAGAACGUGCGUGAGAGUAACUGUUCACGCAGUGACGGUAUCCAACCAGAAAGUCACGGCUAACUACGUGCCAGCAGCCGCGGUAAUACGUAGGUGGCAAGCGUUAUCCGGAUUUAUUGGGCGUAAAGCGAGCGCAGGCGGUUGCUUAGGUCUGAUGUGAAAGCCUUCGGCUUAACCGAAGAAGUGCAUCGGAAACCGGGCGACUUGAGUGCAGAAGAGGACAGUGGAACUCCAUGUGUAGCGGUGGAAUGCGUAGAUAUAUGGAAGAACACCAGUGGCGAAGGCGGCUGUCUGGUCUGCAACUGACGCUGAGGCUCGAAAGCAUGUGUAGCGAACAGGAUUAGAUACCCUGGUAGUCCAUGCCGUAAACGAUGACUGCUAGGUGUUGG
rnacentral:rRNA from 1 species